rnacentral:other from 1 species
AGUUACCUGCAGUGUUCGGGAGGGGAACAAAUCUCUUGGGUCAAACUAUAGAAAAGGGAUUCCUAAAUAUCGGGGUUGAGUUGCAUGGCUGAUAGCCGGUCAUACAGGAUUCUCCGGUGCGGAAACCCACUUGAACCUUAGAGUUCAAGAGAUAACCCCGAGCGGCACUGCGGGUUUUUC